UUGUACACCACAAUGAACACUCCCAAAUACUUCUCAUUUUAAAAGCUAAGCAGGGUUGGGCCUGGUUAAUUCUUGGAUGGGAGACCACCAAAGAAUAAUCAUGAUACAGU
rnacentral:rRNA from 1 species